rnacentral:lncRNA from 1 species
GGCGUCAGAAUUUCCGAUGCUGAGUCACGACUCAGGACCAGACCCUCCCAGCAACGUCAAGAACACAAAGGAUAGGCAAUUAUAUUAAAUUAGGAAUUAGCCCCUUGAGGUUGUUCAAUCAUAAUUUACCCCUGUUCUUUUGCAUCUUAAAUGCAUUGCUUUUUCUAUGUCGGUAAAUUAGCCAGCUUGAACUUGGGAUCACAGCGAGUCUUUAACUUACCUCAAGAGCUGCCAUCUGCGGUUAAAGCCAUUGUAGCUCUAGAUUCAAUGUCGUUUCCCAACUUUAGGACACAAGUUGUAAGGGAAUCAUUCAUGGGAAAGCACGGUGUUCAUGGCAGUCACCAGAGCAUCUACA